UACCAUUGAAGGAAAUGCCUUUGGGCGUCCCUGUCAGUUUCCUUUCCGGUACAAAGACCAAUGGUAUGGAGACUGCACCUCGAUAGACUCGUCCAAUAGACGGCUUUGGUGUGCCAUUGAAACAAACUACCAAGACAAUGAAUUGUGGGGCUACUGUCCAUCCACAACUAUGGAGCAUUGGCAUAAGAACCCGGUCACAGGUGCUUUCUACCAGGUGAACCUCCACUCUGCCCUGAACUGGCACCAGGCUCGGACCAGCUGCCAACAGCAGGGAGCAGACUUGGCCUCAAUCACCAAACCCCUCGAGCAGACCUACGUAGCAGGCCUGUGUGGUAAACGGCAUGUGCCGCUGUGGACGGGCCUGAAUGCUCUGGAACAGGACAGUGGCUGGCAGUGGGUCAGUGGAAAGCCUC